AGCGCUCUCCCCCGUGGGGUCGUCACGCAGCCGACUGCUCCCUCGGCCAAGGGAACACGGAGAAGCCCACUCCUAAUUAGAUGGGUUUCCGUCUCUCCAGGUCUUCACUUCUUGCAUGUUCUUGACUUGUUAGAGGAAAUCGUGUAUCGACAUUGGUAUUGAUUUGCAUAAUUCAGAUAUAAUUAGGAGAAAGAUUUGCCGCGUGGCAGGCAGCGGGGCCGGUGCUGCCGGAUCCUGCUGACCUUGGGGAAAUCUCAGAGCUGGGCCUUUCACCCUCACCAGGGGCAAGCCUCCCAUUCUCUGCAAAGCCCCGAAAUUCCCUCUUCUGUGAGGCGUCAGGGCAGCAGGAGGGCCCUUGUGCCCCCAAACUCUUUCCCUGCCCGGCCCCGGGAUCUGGAAUUCUGACCCCAGGGCCGUCCCACGGGGACAUGCGGGGAGUGACCAGGAGGACAGGCGCCCAUGUGGAGGGAGGGAGAGGCCCUCGGGGUGGGGCCGUCCUGACGGUGGGAGGACACGGAAGCAGAUCCCAGCAGUGCUGGAAGCAAGAGACUAGAAAUUAAUGUGACCCAGUGAAUGAUGUCGCGGCCGUGAUGAUAAGUGGCAGCGCGUCCUUGCAAAGAUUAGCAAGAUAACGAGGCAGAGAAGCAAGCGAAAGUGCCCGGCCGUGCCCGUUCCGACCUGUCAUCAUUCCUUCGCGCCUUCGUUCAUCCCUCCGUCCGUUCACAGGUGUUUAUCGCGGGGCCAUUACGUGCCAGGCAGAUAGUCAAGAACCAGGUGUCGCUACUGGGAAACUUGGCUCCUACCCACCCCACCCAGGAGGAGGGAUCGGGCUCUGGGACUCGGGGCCUGGGGGAGCUAGCGCCCGGGGGACCCUAGGAUACCUCCCUUGAAUUGUGCCUCCAUUUCCCCGUGAGCUGGUUGUGUUCCGGGAAGGCGGGCGGGAAGGCAGGCGACAGCAGGGAGGCGGGGUGAGGGAGGACGGGGAGGCUGCACCAGAAGCAGGGAGUCCCUCCCCACACCCGACCUCCUGUCCCCGUGUGACCCCUCCUCCUCCCACACAGGCCUGCACGGGCGUCACCGGGAGCCACAGCCAAUUUCCCGAGGGAGCGAUCUCCAGGCCACUGAUUUACUCGUCAGCUGUCGCCUGUCGCCUCGGGCCCUGCGUAGUGCUGCUCGUGGGGCUUCCCCGCCCUCUGGCCGUGACGCACUGACGGACACCGACGGUCCCUGUGGAAACGGCGACAUGGCCCUCGGCCCGCAGGGGGCUGCUACGCCCCAGAACCGAGGAAGAGCAGAAGGGAUUCCCACGGGGGAGUCAGGACUUUUCAGCUUCCGUUUGGCCACGUUUCGACCUCACGGGCCACUUGGGGACCCGCCGCCGUUCCCGCUGCCCCCCCUUCUCGGGCCCAGGCUGGUGAUGCAGUGAGGACCUUGCGGCCUGAUUCCUCUCGCCAAGGUUAACUGGCGCCUUCAUUGGCGUGAGAGCUCCUGCUGUGCUCGGAGAGCACGCUGGGGGCUGGCCUGCGCCCUCCUUUGAUCUCGGCUCAGCUGACCCUCCCAGCUGCGUGUGCUUCCCUGUUCCCACCAACUUCGCUUUCUACUUUAUUUUCUGCUUACAUAUUUCUAGUUUCUUUUACUGGGAUGCAAGCUCUGCGAAGAUGGCAGAGGGGCGUAGCAGCGUGGGGCACAGGUUCAGACGCAUCUUCUUCGUCACCUCCUCGCUGUGGCCCCUGCUUCCUGGCUGGGGACGACCCCCCUCCCGGCUGCUUGCUCCGUGCUGGGUCCUGGGCUCCCAGUCAGAGCCCAGAUUUUGCACCCUUGGUCGUGGUGCUCACCGGCUGUGGGGUCGUGGGGAGGGAAUGGAAGGGGUAGCUUGAGACAGAAGCCGUGGGAGCAAAGCGAGCGCCCCCUCCAGCCCCUGGCCCAGCACCCUGUGGCUCCACACGCUCCGGGACAAGCUUCCUAGACACUCUGAGGCCUUUCCUGCCUUGCAUUUUCUUAAAUUUGAUAUUAGAUAUAUAUCCAUAUAUAAUUUUUUUCCCGAAAAUCUAUUUAAAUCUGAAUUAGUUAAGAAGCAUUGGAGUAGCUCAGUUCAUUAAAUGGUUUGCCUUCCGCUCGGGUCACGGUCCCAGGGUCCUGGGAUGGAGCCCUGCAUGGAGGGAGGUCCCUGCUCCUCCCUCCCCCUCUCUCUCCUUCUCCCUCUGCCCCUCCCCUCGGUUCAUGUGUACAGGCACAUUCUCUCUCAAAUAAAUAAAAUCUUAAAAAAAAAUUCUAAUUAACAUACAGCGCAAAAUUGGUUUCAGGAGUAGAGGUCAGUGGUUCAUCACUGACUGCAGCCCCCGGUGCUCGUCCUUCGUGCCCACCCACCUCCCUCCAGCCGCCCUCGGUUGGUUCUCUAUCAUUCAGAGUCUCUUCUGGUCUGUUUCCCUCUCUCUUUUUCUGCCCCUUUCCCAUAUAUUCAUCUGUUUUCUUUCUUGGAUUCCACAUAGGAGUGAGGUCACCUGGUAUUUGUCUUGGACUCACUUACUUGGCGUGAUCCACUCUAGCUCCAUCCACAUCAUUGCAAAUGGUAAGAUUUCAUUCUAUGUGACGGCUGAGUAAUAUUACACACACACACACACACACACACACACGCCCGCCACACCACGUCUUCCUUACGUGUUUAUCAAAGGACAUUUGGGCUCUUUCCCUAGUUUGGCUAUUGUCGAUGCUGCUGCUAUAAACCUAGGGGUGCAUGUAUCCCUCUGAAUUAGUAUUUUUGCCUCUUUUGGGUAAAUACCCAGUAGUGCAGUCCCUGGAUCGUGGGGUAGCUCUAUUUGUAACUUCUUGAGGAACCUCCGUACUCUUUCCAGAGCGGCUGCACCAGCUUGCAUUCCCAACAAUGCAGGCGGGGGCCCCUCUCCCCACAUCCUCACCAAUACCUGUUGUUUCCUGUGCUGUUGAUUUUAGCCAUCCUGACAGGUGUGAGGUGAUAGCUCAUUGUGGUGCUGAUUUGUAUUUCCCUGAUGAUGAGGGAUGUUGAGCAUCUUUUCGUGUGUCUGUUGGCCACCUGGAUGUCUUCUCUGGAGACAUGUCUGUUCAUGUCUUCUGCCCAUUUCUUUUUUUCCUUUUUUAAGAGAGAGAGCAAGUGAGUGGUGUGGAAGGGCAGAAGGAGGGGGAGAGAAAGGAUCUUUUUUUUUUUUAAAGAUUUUAUUUAUUCAUUCAUGAGAGACACACAGAGAGAGGCAGAGACCCAGGCAGAGGGAGACGCAGGCCCCAUGCACGGGGCCCGAUGUGGGAUUCGAUCCCGGGACCCCAGGAUCACACCCUGAGCCAAAGGCAGGUGCUAAACCGCUGAGCCCCCCAGGGAUCCCCGGAGAGAGAGGAUCUUAAGCAGACUCUACACACAGCAUGGAGCCCGACAUGGGAUUUGAUCUCAUGACCCUGAGAUCACAACCUGAGCCAAAAUCAAGUCAGACGCUUAACGGACUGACCCCCCCCCAGGUGCCCCUCUUCUGCCCAUUUCUUAACCAGAUUAUUUAUUUUUUGAGUGUUGAGUUUGAUGAGUUCUUUAUAGAUCUUGGAGACUAACCCUUCACCCUAUGUGUCCUCUGCAAAUACCUGCUCCCACUCCGUAGGCUGCCUUUUAGUGUUGUCGACGGUUUCCUCCGCUGUGCAGAAGCUUCUGCCUUGAUGAAGGCCCAACACUUCACUCUUGCUUUUGUUUCCCUUGCCUCCGGGGACAUGUCUAGUGAAGUCGCUACGGCCGAGGUCGCAGAGGGGGCUGCCUGGGUUCUGCUCUAGGAUUUUGAUGGUUUCCUGUCUCACAUUUAGGUUUUUUCUUGGCUAUUUUGAAUUUAUUUUCGUGUAUGGUGUAAGAACGUGGUCCAGUUUCAUUCUUUUGCCGUUGCUGUCCGACACCAUCUGUUGAAGAAACCGUCUUUUUCCCAUUGGAUAGUCUUUCCCGCUUUGUCAAUGAUUAGUUGACCAUGGAGUUGUGGAUCCAUUCCUGGGUUCUCUGUUCUGUUCAUUGAUCUCUGUGCCUGUUCUUGUGCGAGGACCACACUGUGUUGGGGAUCACAGCCUGACGUCCAGAGUGGCGAUGGCCCCAGCUUUGCCUUUCUUCUUCAUGGUUGCUUUGGCGAUUUGGGGUCUUUUGCGGUUCCAUCCACGAACUUUAGGAUCAUUUGUUCUCACUCUGUGAAAAAUGCUGGUGGUAUUUUGAUGGGGUUGCAUUAAAUAUGUAGACAGCUGUAG
rnacentral:lncRNA from 1 species